rnacentral:rRNA from 1 species
AUUGAACGCUGGCGGCAGGCCUAACACAUGCAAGUCGAACGGUAACAGGAAGAAGCUUGCUUCUUUGCUGACGAGUGGCGGACGGGUGAGUAAUGUCUGGGAAACUGCCUGAUGGAGGGGGAUAACUACUGGAAACGGUAGCUAAUACCGCAUAACGUCGCAAGACCAAGGAGGGGGACCUUCGGGCCUCUUGCCAUCGGAUGUGCCCAGAUGGGAUUAGCUAGUAGGUGGGGUAACGGCCCACCUAGGCGACGAUCCCUAGCUGGUCUGAGAGGAUGACCAGCCACACUGGAACUGAGACACGGUCCAGACUCCUACGGGAGGCAGCAGUGGGGAAUAUUGCACAAUGGGCGCAAGCCUGAUGCAGCCAUGCCGCGUGUAUGAAGAAGGCCUUCGGGUUGUAAAGUACUUUCAGCGGGGAGGAAGGGAGUAAAGUUAAUACCUUUGCUCAUUGACGUUACCCGCAGAAGAAGCACCGGCUAACUCCGUG